AUACGGAGGGUCCAAGCGUUAUCCGGAUUUAUUGGGUUUAAAGGGUCCGUAGGCGGGAAUCUAAGUCAGUGGUGAAAUCUUGCAGCUCAACUGUAAAAUUGCCAUUGAUACUGGAUUUCUUGAAUUAGUGUGAAGUGGUUAGAAUGUGUAGUGUAGCGGUGAAAUGCAUAGAUAUUACACAGAAUACCAAUUGCGAAGGCAGAUCACUAACACUAUAUUGACGCUGAGGGACGAAAGCGUGGGGAGCGAACAGGAUUAGAUACCCGAGUAGUCC
rnacentral:rRNA from 1 species